UGGGGAAUAUUGCACAAUGGGCGCAAGCCUGAUGCAGCCAUGCCGCGUGUGUGAAGAAGGCCUUCGGGUUGUAAAGCACUUUCGGCGAGGAGGAAGGUGGUGAACUUAAUACGUUCAUCAAUUGACGUUACUCGCAGAAGAAGCACCGGCUAACUCCGUGCCAGCAGCCGCGGUAAUACGGAGGGUGCAAGCGUUAAUCGGAAUUACUGGGCGUAAAGCGCACGCAGGCGGUUUGUUAAGUCAGAUGUGAAAUCCCCGGGCUCAACCUGGGAACUGCAUUUGAAACUGGCAAGCUAGAGUCUCGUAGAGGGGGGUAGAAUUCCAGGUGUAGCGGUGAAAUGCGUAGAGAUCUGGAGGAAUACCGGUGGCGAAGGCGGCCCCCCUGGACGAAGACUGACGCUCAGGUGCGAAAGCGUGGGGCAGCAAACAGGAUUAGAUACCCUGGUAGGUCCACGCUGUAAACGAUGUCGAUUUGGAGGUUGUGCCCCUUGAGGCGUGGNUUCCGGAGCUAACG
rnacentral:rRNA from 1 species